UCCAGACUCCUACGGGAGGCAGCAGUGGGGGAUAUUGCACAAUGGGGGGAACCCUGAUGCAGCGACGCCGCGUGGGUGAAGGAGCGUUUCGGCGCGUAAAGCCCUAUCGGCAGGGAAGAAGGAGGACGGUACCUGACUAAGAAGCCCCGGCUAACUACGUGCCAGCGGCCGCGGUAAUACGUAGGGGGCAAGCGUUAUCCGGAUUUACUGGGUGUAAAGGGGGCGCAGACGGCAGCGCAAGCCAGGAGUGGAAGCCCGGGGCCCAACCCCGGGACUGCUCUUGGAACUGCGCGGCUGGAGUGCAGGAGGGGCAGGCGGAAUUCCUGGUGUAGCGGUGAAAUGCGUAGAUAUCAGGAGGAACACCGGUGGCGAAGGCGGCCUGCUGGACUGCGACUGACGUUGAGGCCCGAAAGCGUGGGGAGCAAACAGGAUUAGAUACCCCAGUA
rnacentral:rRNA from 1 species